CGAACGAUGAACCCACUUCGGUGGGGGAUUAGUGGCGAACGGGUGAGUAACACGUGGGCAAUCUGCCCUUCACUCUGGGACAAGCCCUGGAAACGGGGUCUAAUACCGGAUACGACCACUUCAGGCAUCUGAUGGUGGUGGAAAGCUCCGGCGGUGAAGGAUGAGCCCGCGGCCUAUCAGCUUGUUGGUGAGGUAAUGGCUCACCAAGGCGACGACGGGUAGCCGGCCUGAGAGGGCGACCGGCCACACUGGGACUGAGACACGGCCCAGACUCCUACGGGAGGCAGCAGUGGGGAAUAUUGCACAAUGGGCGAAAGCCUGAUGCAGCGACGCCGCGUGAGGGAUGACGGCCUUCGGGUUGUAAACCUCUUUCAGCAGGGAAGAAGCGCAAGUGACGGUACCUGCAGAAGAAGCGCCGGCUAACUACGUGCCAGCAGCCGCGGUAAUACGUAGGGCGCAAGCGUUGUCCGGAAUUAUUGGGCGUAAAGAGCUCGUAGGCGGCUUGUCGCGUCGGAUGUGAAAGCCCGGGGCUUAACCCCGGGUCUGCAUUCGAUACGGGCAGGCUAGAGUGUGGUAGGGGAGAUCGGAAUUCCUGGUGUAGCGGUGAAAUGCGCAGAUAUCAGGAGGAACACCGGUGGCGAAGGCGGAUCUCUGGGCCAUUACUGACGCUGAGGAGCGAAAGCGUGGGGAGCGAACAGGAUUAGAUACCCUGGUAGUCCACGCCGUAAACGUUGGGAACUAGGUGUUGGCGACAUUCCACGUCGUCGGUGCCGCAGCUAACGCAUUAAGUUCCCCGCCUGGGGAGUAC
rnacentral:rRNA from 1 species